CGACUGCUCCCCGCUGGUGCGCAGGACCGCGGGCGUUUACCUGUGCUUUCCCACGCCCGGAAGAACUCGUCAUGCUCUCUGCAGCGUGGUGCUAGUGUUGCUCACAGGACAACUUGCCUUUGAUGAUUUUCAAGAGAGUUGUGCUAUGAUGUGGCAAAAGUAUGCAGGAAGCAGGCGGUCAAUGCCUCUGGGAGCAAGGAUCCUUUUCCACAGUGUGGUGUAUGCCGGGGGCUUUGCCAUUGUGUAUUACCUCAUUCAAAAGUUUCAUUCUAGGGCUUUAUAUUACAAGUUGGCAGUGGAGCAGCUGCAGAGCCAUCCCGAGGCACAGGAAGCUCUGGGCACUCCUCUCAACAUCCAUUAUCUCAAGCUCAUCGACAGGGAAAACUUCGUGGACAUUGCUGAUGCCCAGUUGAAGAUUCCUGUCUCUGGAUCCAAGUCAGAGGGCCUUCUCUACGUCCACUCAUCCAGAAGUGGCCCCUUUCAGAGGUGGCACCUUGACAAAGUCUUUUUAGAGCUCAAGGAUGGUCAGCGGAUUCCUGUGUUCAAGCUCAGUGGGGAAAAUGGUGAUGAAGGGAAAAAGGAGUAGAGACGACCCAGAAGACCCAGCUUGCUUCUAGUCCAUCCUUCCCUCAUCUCUACCAUAUGGCCACUGGGGUGGUGGCCCAUCUGAGUGACAGACACUCCUGCAACCCAGUUUUCCAGCCACCAGUGGGAUGAUUGUAUGUGCCAGCACAUGACACCAACCAUCUGCCCCGUUGAAGAUUUGCAAAAUAAUUGUUUUGAUUCCAAACAUUUUGAAAGCUUAGAAAAUUUAUAUGUGUACAUAUACAUAUAAAGUUAACUUAGGAAAGUUAGUUUGAAGCUAACAGUGUCUGGCUGGGCGUGGUGGCCCAUGCCUGUAAUCCCAGCAAUUUGGGAGGCCGAGGCAGGUGGAUCACCUGAGGU